rnacentral:rRNA from 1 species
UACGUAGGGUGCGAGCGUUGUCCGGAAUUAUUGGGCGUAAAGAGCUCGUAGGCGGCUUGUCACGUCUGCUGUGAAAACUCGGGGCUCAACCCCGAGCCUGCAGUGGAUACGGGCUAGCUAGAGUGCGGUAGGGGAGACUGGAAUUCCUGGUGUAGCGGUGAAAUGCGCAGAUAUCAGGAGGAACACCGGUGGCGAAGGCGGGUCUCUGGACCGAUACUGACGCUGAGGAGCGAAAGCGUGGGGAGCGAACAGG